UGGUCUAUUUCAGGACAAAUUUUAAAACCGCCGAUUUGUACAGCCAAUUACAGCGGGAAAUCAUAGACAUUCGGCUCGGCGCCUCCUGUUCCUCACAUUGAAAGAAGUCCCGAAUGCGCAGUUGAGGCAAAGCUGUAGACUGGAUGGAUGCCAGACAACUUGAGGCAGAGGAAACACGUGAGUAUGAAGAUGAAGUUGACAAGAGAUACAAAAUCUCUUAAAAUUGUACCUCACCUUGCUAAAAUGUCCCACCGAUUGCUCACUAGUCACUACUGCACCAAAAAGGACUCGUAGGAGCCCUCAAUUCAUACGUUUAACCUUCAGUUCUGGUCGUGGCACAUAGCUCAAUUGCAUCGUGGUAUACCACGUGAGAAUAAAAUAGUUGUCGUUGCCCUACCCCGCUCCUGUCUACGGUCUCUGUACCUCUAAAAUCCUUACUCUUCAGUCUUCACACCUCUUUUGCCCAACAUUGUCGGUUAGAUUCCAAUAAUUAUUCUCGGAUUUUGACGAAACUUCAACUUAUUUCUAACUAAACCUCAACUUAUAUAGAUAUACAAUUUUUGGUGAGUUGUGUAGGGAAUAAGAUCAAAGUUCUAGGUUGACUAUACAAGGAGUCAUGGGUACAAAAUUGAGGACAAUACAUCUGUUAUUGGUAUAAAACUUUUGUUCGGAGUGUGAUCAAAGUCCUAUAUUAACUACAUAAGAGAUGAUCCACGUAGUAUAUAAAUGAGAACAACCAUCUUUAUUGACACAAGACUUUUUAGGUGAAACCAAAAGUUCAGCUUCGAGGCUUAAGCCAUGAGAGUUUGAGUCCCAAAUAGAUAAUAUCAUACCAUAUAUGAUAAUAUAGAGAGGUGGCUUGUUAGCACAGGUGGCAAACUGGGCAACACAAAAAUCCUAAAAAUACAAAAACACUGAGAAAAAGUUCUCUCUCUCCUGGCUUAUAUAAAGACCCUAAUUAAGUCGUUCGACGUCAAUGGUUGAAGUAUAUAUAUAUCAUAUGUAAUGUAAUUGUUCCCCAAGCUUUCAUUUUCACAAGGCCGUGCCUCUUCUGCUCUCCAAUCUUUCACACUCCAAUUGUCAGCUCCAGAGAGGGAGAAAGAGAGAGAGAGUGUGUGUGAGAAUGACGUUUGUUUUAUUUGUAUCAGGCGGGUUUGGUUUGUGAUAUUCUGAUCACUUAUCCUGUUUUUGCUUUGGGGUAAGAUUUCAAAACACGACCAAUCCUAAUUCUCGGAGUGGCAAACCAAAUUAAACCCAAACAAAGUCAUAGUUGUGUGCUGGAGACGAAACACACAAUUAAAAGCUGCCACUUUACCUUCCUUCACUUCAUCUACAAGACCCAAAGGAUUAGGUUCCAUGCCGUCAAGGCUCAGCCAUUGCCCUUUUUGGGUCUACAAGAAUCUUGGUUUUCUGUCCAUGUGUCGAGGAUUUAAAGGUGGAAAAUUAUAAUGGGAUCAGUACCUAAAACCCAUUUAAUUUAUCCAAAGAAUUGAAGACGAAUCCCUACAAUUUCAUUUUGGUUGUUGGUUUUGUUAGUUUCUUUUAUUCUUUCAUUUUGAU